GACGAGGGAUCCUAGCGUUGUUCGGAAUCAUUGGGCGUAAAGCGGAUGUAGGUGGCUUUGUAAGUCAGGUGUGAAAGCCCCGGGCUCAACCCGGGAAGUGCAUUUGAUACUGCGAAGCUUGAGUGCUGGAGAGGCUACUAGAAUACCUGGUGUAGUGGUGAAAUACGUAGAUAUCAGGUGGAAUACCGGAGGCGAAGGCGGGUAGCCAGCCAGACACUGACACUCAGAUCCGAAAGUGUGGGGAUCAAACAGG
rnacentral:rRNA from 1 species